GCUUACGGCCAUACCACCUUAGGCACGCCCGAUCUCGUCUGAUCUCGGAAGCUAAGCAGGGUCGGGCCUGGUUAGUACUUCGAUGGGUGACAGCCUGGGAAUACCAGGUGCUGUAAGCA
ensembl:rRNA 5S_rRNA 5S ribosomal RNA